AGAGUUUGAUCCUGGCUCAGGAUGAACGCUGGCGGCGUGCCUAAUACAUGCAAGUCGAGCGAACGGACGAGAAGCUUGCUUCUCUGAUGUUAGCGGCGGACGGGUGAGUAACACGUGGAUAACCUACCUAUAAGACUGGGAUAACUUCGGGAAACCGGAGCUAAUACCGGAUAAUAUUUUGAACCGCAUGGUUCAAAAGUGAAAGACGGUCUUGCUGUCACUUAUAGAUGGAUCCGCGCUGCAUUAGCUAGUUGGUAAGGUAACGGCUUACCAAGGCAACGAUGCAUAGCCGACCUGAGAGGGUGAUCGGCCACACUGGAACUGAGACACGGUCCAGACUCCUACGGGAGGCAGCAGUAGGGAAUCUUCCGCAAUGGGCGAAAGCCUGACGGAGCAACGCCGCGUGAGUGAUGAAGGUCUUCGGAUCGUAAAACUCUGUUAUUAGGGAAGAACAUAUGUGUAAGUAACUGUGCACAUCUUGACGGUACCUAAUCAGAAAGCCACGGCUAACUACGUGCCAGCAGCCGCGGUAAUACGUAGGUGGCAAGCGUUAUCCGGAAUUAUUGGGCGUAAAGCGCGCGUAGGCGGUUUUUUAAGUCUGAUGUGAAAGCCCACGGCUCAACCGUGGAGGGUCAUUGGAAACUGGAAAACUUGAGUGCAGAAGAGGAAAGUGGAAUUCCAUGUGUAGCGGUGAAAUGCGCAGAGAUAUGGAGGAACACCAGUGGCGAAGGCGACUUUCUGGUCUGUAACUGACGCUGAUGUGCGAAAGCGUGGGGAUCAAACAGGAUUAGAUACCCUGGUAGUCCACGCCGUAAACGAUGAGUGCUAAGUGUUAGGGGGUUUCCGCCCCUUAGUGCUGCAGCUAACGCAUUAAGCACUCCGCCUGGGGAGUACGACCGCAAGGUUGAAAUUCAAAGGAAUUGACGGGGACCCGCACAAGCGGUGGAGCAUGUGGUUUAAUUCGAAGCAACGCGAAGAACCUUACCAAAUCUUGACAUCCUUUGACAACUCUAGAGAUAGAGCCUUCCUCUUCGGGGGACAAAGUGACAGGUGGUGCAUGGUUGUCGUCAGCUCGUGUCGUGAGAUGUUGGGUUAAGUCCCGCAACGAGCGCAACCCUUAAGCU
rnacentral:rRNA from 1 species